rnacentral:rRNA from 1 species
AGAGUUUGAUUAUGGCUCAGGACGAACGCUGGCGGCGUGCCUAACACAUGCAAGUCGAGCGAGUGGAGUUCUUCGGAACAAAGCUAGCGGCGGACGGGUGAGUAACACGUGGGCAACCUGCCUCAUAGAGGGGAAUAGCCUUCCGAAAGGGAGAUUAAUACCGCAUAAGAUUGUAGCUUCGCAUGAAGUAGCAAUUAAAGGAGCAAUCCGCUAUGAGAUGGGCCCGCGGCGCAUUAGCUAGUUGGUGAGGUAACGGCUCACCAAGGCGACGAUGCGUAGCCGACCUGAGAGGGUGAUCGGCCACAUUGGGACUGAGACACGGCCCAGACUCCUACGGGAGGCAGCAGUGGGGAAUAUUGCACAAUGGGGGAAACCCUGAUGCAGCAACGCCGCGUGAGUGAUGACGGCCUUCGGGUUGUAAAGCUCUGUCUUCAGGGACGAUAAUGACGGUACCUGAGGAGGAAGCCACGGCUAACUACGUGCCAGCAGCCGCGGUAAUACGUAGGUGGCGAGCGUUGUCCGGAUUUACUGGGCGUAAAGGGAGCGUANGCGGAUUUUUAAGUGAGAUGUGAAAUACUCGGGCUCAACUUGAGUGCUGCAUUUCAAACUGGAAGUCUAGAGUGCAGGAGAGGAGAAUGGAAUUCCUAGUGUAGCGGUGAAAUGCGU